rnacentral:rRNA from 1 species
AACGAACGCUGGCGGCAGGUUUAACACAUGCAAGUCGAGCGCCCCGCAAGGGGAGCGGCAGACGGGUGAGUAACGCGUGGGAAUCUACCCAUCUCUACGGAAUAACGCAUGGAAACGUGUGCUAAUACCGUAUACGUCCUUCGGGAGAAAGAUUUAUCGGAGAUGGAUGAGCCCGCGUUGGAUUAGCUAGUUGGUGGGGUAAUGGCCUACCAAGGCGACGGUCCAUAGCUGGUCUGAGAGGAUGAUCAGCCACACUGGGACUGAGACACGGCCCAGACUCCUACGGGAGGCAGCAGUGGGGAAUAUUGGACAAUGGGCGCAAGCCUGAUCCAGCCAUGCCGCGUGAGUGAUGAAGGCCCUAGGGUUGUAAAGCUCUUUCACCGGUGAAGAUAAUGACGGUAACCGGAGAAGAAGCCCCGGCUAACUUCGUGCCAGCCGCCGCCUAAGAC